GGAGAGGUGGCAGAGCGGUUGAAUGCACCGGUCUUGAAAACCGGCAGGGGUUCACGCCCCUCGUGGGUUCGAAUCCCACCCUCUCCGCCA
rnacentral:tRNA from 3 species